rnacentral:rRNA from 1 species
UGGGGAAUAUUGGGCAAUGGGCGAAAGCCUGACCCAGCAACGCCGCGUGAAGGAAGAAGGUUUUCGGAUUGUAAACUUCUGUCCUCAGGGAAGAAGGAAGUGACGGUACCUGAGGAGGAAGCCCCGGCUAACUACGUGCCAGCAGCCGCGGUAAUACGUAGGGGGCGAGCGUUGUCCGGAAUGACUGGGCGUAAAGGGCGCGUAGACGGCUGUCUAAGGCUGGAGUGAAAGUCCUGCUUUCAAGGUGGGAAUUGCUUUGGAGACUGGAUGGCUUGAGUGCGGAAGAGGUAAGUGGAAGUCCCAGGGUAGCGGUGAAAUGCGUAGAGAUUGGGAGGAACACCAGUGGCGAAGGCGACUUACUGGGCCGUAACUGACGUUGAAGCGCGAAAGCGUGGGGAGCGAACA